ensembl:lncRNA
AACUGACCCUUUCCAUUUAAAAAGACUAAUAGACUGCUCAAUAAUGCCAUUCUCUGACGUCUGUACAUAAAGAAAAGGGACUUUGAUGGUGAGAAUAUAUAUAGCAUUUGCAUUCUUUUUUUAGGAAGAAAAACGUAUCAGAUUUGGAAAACCUCCUAGAAAGGGCAACGUUAUGAGAGAAAGGUCUUUGAGUGCGCUUAAUACCUCUAUUUAAAUGCUAAUGCUAACCUAUAGCUCUGGACCACACAGAAACUAAAGUUUUCAAGGAGCAGAAAGUGAAUUUAAAAUGAAAAUUUAAUUUCUGGAAUAAAAGACUUUUUUUUUUUUUUUUAAUUUCCGCAGAAAAGCUGAAGCACAGAAUUUCAUGAGAGGGUUACCCUUCUGAUCAGAGUAAAAACCUGCCAGCGACCCAGUAGGUGGGUUUAAUGGCAGAACGGGGGCUGCCUCUAGUGCAAAUGGGAAUUUCCCUCUGAAGACUUGCUUCUGGAGGUGACUGUUUUCCACAAAUUAUAUCUGGUGGAGGGCGAUGCUUUUUCCCCUCCUCUGUAAUGGUCUGUGCCAAGGGAGCACCGCUACUUGGAAGGAACAAUGGAAACCAAGGUGGGGGUGGGGGGGAGCACAAGGUCUGGGGUCAGGUAGCCCAGAGUAACUGGGAGGACACAGGACACAGUCAAGGGCUCCUGGGAGGUUCAGUGCUGCUUUAUUUCCCCUGGGCAGGAAUGAAUGCAGUGACCGAGGCCCGGAGUGCUGGGGAAAUGUCUGUUCUAAAAUCUGAGUCCAGCAGAGGCUGGGAAACUACAUACUGCAUGUGGGCCUCCAUGACCUUCCCUGAGUUCCUAGGGACAGGUUCAGACAGUUGCUGAUCAGGGAAGGAAGGGGAUGCAAAGACAGGGGAGGAACAGGCGAGAAACAAUAGUGCAGCCUUGGGGCAGGAUCCUGGUUCCCUUCAAGGGAGACACAUAAAGUGGACGCAUCUUAUACUCCUAAGAGAAAACUGAUAUACCGUAUGCUUCUUUUAGAAAUGAGUACUUUAAAAGUGAACAGCUUAGGGUCCUUCCUUGUCCUUCUGCCUGGCUUGAUUGCACCCUAAACUCAAUCACCCAUAAGCUACCAUUGCCUUCGGGUUAAAGAUUAUUAGCACACGAUGUUUUUCAGGAACUUCCCUAGUUUGUUCUAACCCCUGAUCAAUAUGCCCUUUUCGCAAGUACUGUUAUUUUAGGCAAUAACCCAGAAGACCCCCGUCGUGAUCAUGCCGAGAUCUCCUGGCUCCAGCUUUGAUGACGGAGAUUCCCCCAAAGAAUCUAAAGCCAUUUCGCAGGGUUCCACAGAGACAGGAAGAAGGCAUAUUUGCCCCAAUCCUGAUUCCUAUCUGAACACCUGCUCUCUCUUUUUUAGUAUAAAACUCCUUGCAAUUCUUUCCCAUGGAGGGCACAGUCUUUAAGGCAUUAGCUUGCUGUGGCCUCCUUUGCCUGGCAAAGUAAUAAAAGCCAUCCUUGUCUUCUUCCCCCGCAACUCUUUCUCUGGGUUUCAGUUCGGCACUGGCAGACAGAGGCUGAAUUUUGGCAGCAAGUCUAACGUCCUGUGCUUUUAUCUGGUGAUGGUUAUGUGAGUGUAUUCACUCUGUAAAAGUGAUCAAGUUGUAUAGUUAAGAUUUGUACAGUUUACUGUAGGCAGGGAAUACUUCAAUAAAAAUAUAUUACCAUCCUCCUCUACCCGUUUCUCCAGCAAAAAAAGAAAAAAGAAAGAAAGAAAAGAAAAAGAGAGUCGGCAACAGGCCAGGGGCUGGGGUUGGCACCCGAAUGUGUAGCACGGUCUCAGAUCCUAACACUAAGACAACUGCUAAUCUUGUGAACCUUGAAAACAAUGCUAACUAAAACCAGUUCAUCACUGAAGAUUACACGCUAUAUUUCAUUUAUAUAGUAUUCAGUAUUUAUAGAGUUCAGAAUAGGCAAAUCCACAGAGACAGGAAGUAGGUGAGGGGUUGCUAGGGAUGGUGUGGGAGGUUGGGGAGUGACUGCUCAUGGGUACUGGCUUUCUUUGGGGGGGGGGAUAAUGAACAUGUUCUGAAAUUGGCUGGUGAUGAUGGCUAUACGACCCUAUGAUCAUACCAAACCAGCCCCCUCCCAAACUCCAAAAGAUCCCCAAGUGACCGGCACACUUUAAAAGGGUUAAUGUUUACGUUAUGUAAGUUACAUUUCAAUAAAGCUACUACAAAAGUGCUAGUUCUGUGAACUAGAACCCUGUCUUAACUAUACAGAGGACCUGGCCCCAGUCAAUAUUGUUGUGACGAUUGAUCCACUAAUCGAGACAUUUGCUCCAGCUCCAUGUUCGUCUGAGACAUUUGCAGAAAAGAUGCUGUAAGCUGACAGAUACAGCAACAUUUUCACCAGCUCACAUUUUCACUCAGUGACCCUAAAACGAACUAAAGCCAUUUUGCAGGGUUCCACGUUUUUGUAGGUUCUGUGACUCUCUGGCAUCUUUGCACUAAAUGCCCUUGAACUCCUUGCAUUCCUACAUUCUAUGGUCAAGAAAAAUUUAUAACAACUAAUAAUAAAUAAUCUCUACUAGAAAAACAGGUUAGGAUUGGGAAUAAUUCUAGGUAUAUGGUUACAGAGUAACUGAAAUAUAAUUGAGCCAAAGAUCCACUAAUGACCAUAUGAAUGCUUUUACGAAGGGGGACAGUGACCACUUAUUGAACUCCUACCACAUGCCAAAUGCUUUACCAGUGUACCUGAUUUCAUCCUCACAAUUGAGCAGCACAAAGGCGAAGUACCUAAGGUCAGCAGGCUGGUGAACAACGGUCAGAUCCCCAUCCUCCCUCCCCUGGAUCAUUCCAGAAAAACUUUGAGGUGGGGCAUGAGAAAACAAUUUCCAGCCAGAAUCAAGCUUGGGGAGACAGAAAUGUUUACUCAUAGGCAAGAGACUCAUUAUGAUCGUAUUUGUGACAGCCUUACAUAAAUUAUAAAGGGCUAUGCAAAUAUAGAUAGCUGGCAUGAUCAUAUGGAUAUUAUUAUAUUAUCAGAUGGGGGAAAUUAGAAGCUGAGGUGCAGAAGACUGCUCAAAGUAAGACUGGUGGACUAACUUAUGCUGAAUUAAGGUUGAAAGUUGUGGCUUCUUGCCAUCAUCUGCUCUUCCACACAGCUGAUCUUCAGAUCUUUAUUCAUGCCAAUGAGGGACUCUUUAAGGUUGAGCUGAGGCUGUACUAGGGAGGAAGGUACGGGCGGGAUGGGUACAGGUUUUAAAGGAAAAAUAUAUUGAUCCUUAAUGGGAAAAGUUGAAUGUUAUUUAGAAAGUAACAGAAAUAGUCUGGAUUCCUGAAGCCCAUUUUCUACAAAUACUGCAGGAGAAGGUGGUAGGAAAGAG